UGGUGGGGUGACUUGUCUGGUUAAUUCCGUUAACGAGCGAGACCUUCAUUUGCUAAAUAAAGCGCAUUCGGGUAUUUUGCCAUGUGCUUUCUUAGAAGAACGUUGUGCUGUUAGCAUGGGGCGGGGUUAAGGCAAUAACA
rnacentral:rRNA from 1 species